GACGAACGCUGGCGGCGUGCUAACACAUGCAAGUCGUACGGUAAGGCCCUUUCGGGGGUCCACGAGUGGCGAACGGGUGAGUAACACGUGAGUAACCUGCCCACAACUUUGGGAUAACGCUAGGAAACUGGUGCUAAUACUGGAUAUGUGCUCCUGCUGCAUGGUGGGGGUUGGAAAGCUCCGGCGGUUGUGGAUGGACUCGCGGCCUAUCAGCUUGUUGGUGGGGUAGUGGCCUACCAAGGCGGCGACGGGUAGCCGGCCUGAGAGGGUGACCGGCCACAUUGGGACUGAGAUACGGCCCAGACUCCUACGGGAGGCAGCAGUGGGGAAUAUUGCACAAUGGGCGCAAGCCUGAUGCAGCAACGCCGCGUGCGGGAUGACGGCCUUCGGGUUGUAAACCGCUUUCAGCAGGGACGAAGCUUUUUGUGACGGUACCUGCAGAAGAAGCACCGGCUAACUACGUG
rnacentral:rRNA from 1 species